AAGAUUUUAAGUUAAUUCUAAUUAAAACUAUUAAUCUUCAAAAUUAAAAAUAUAAAUAAAUUUAUAAAUCUUA
rnacentral:tRNA from 1 species